UACGUAGGGUGCGAGCGUUGUCCGGAAUUAUUGGGCGUAAAGAGCGUGUAGGCGGCUUUACAGGUCCGUUGUGAAAACUCGAGGCUCAACCUCGAGACGCCGGUGGAAACCGUAAAGCUAGAGUCCGGAAGAGGAGAGUGGAAUUCCUGGUGUAGCGGUGAAAUGCGCAGAUAUCAGGAAGAACACCAAUGGCGAAAGCAGCUUUCUGGGACGGUACUGACGCUGAGACGCGAAAGCGUGGGGAGCGAACAGG
rnacentral:rRNA from 1 species